GACAGAGGGGGCAAGCGUUGCUCGGAAUUACUGGGCGUAAAGGGCGCGUAGGCGGGAUGGCAAGUCGGUCGUGAAAUCCUUCGGCUCAACCGAAGAACGUCGAUCGAUACUGCUGUUCUUGAGGGUUGCAGAGGAGACUGGAAUUCCCGGUGUAGCGGUGAAAUGCGUAGAGAUCGGGAGGAACACCAGAGGCGAAGGCGGCAACCUGGACAAGUACUGACACUCAACUACGAAAGCGUGGGGUGCAAACAGG
rnacentral:rRNA from 1 species